rnacentral:rRNA from 1 species
ACGAACGCUGGCGGCGUGCUUCACCCCUGCAAGUCGCACGGUGAAGCGCCUUCCUUUUUGGUGGGUGUGGAUGAGUGGCGAACGGGUGAGUAACACGUGAGUAACCUGCCCCCUUCUUCUGGAUAACCGCAUGAAAGUGUGGCUAAUACGGGAUAUUCUGGGUCUGUCGCAUGAUGGGUCUGGGAAAGAUAUUGUUUCGGUGGGGGAUGGGCUCGCGGCCUAUCAGCUUGUUGGUGGGGUGAUGGCCUACCAAGGCGGUGACGGGUAGCCGGCCUGAGAGGGUGGAUGGUCAGACUGGGACUGAGACACGGCCCAGACUCCGACGGGAGGCAGCAGUGGGGAAUAGUGCACAAUGGGCGCAAGCCUGAUGCAGCGACGCCGCGUGAGGGAUGGAGGCCUUCGGGUUGUGAACCUCUUUCGCCAGUGAAGCAGGCCUGCCUCGUUUGUGGGUGGGUUGACGGUAGCUGGAGAAGAAGCGCCGGCUAACUACGUG